rnacentral:rRNA from 1 species
AACGUAGGAGGCAAACGUUAUCCGGAGUUACUGGGCGUAAAGCGCGCGCAGGCGGGUGAAUAAGUGAGGCGUGAAAGCGCCCGGCUAAACCGGGCGAGGACGAAUCAGACUGUUCACCUGGAGUCAGAUAGAGGAGCGUGGAAUUCCGGGUGUAGCGGUGAAAUGUGUAGAGAUCCGGAGGAACACCAGAGGUGCAGACGGCGCUCUGGGUCUGAACUGACGCUGAGGCGCGAAAGAGUAGGGAGCGAACGGG